UCAAUAAGCGGAGGAAAAGAAACUAACAAGGAUUCCCCUAGUAACGGCGAGUGAAGAGGGAAGAGCCCAAGAUUGAAAGCUGGCGUCUUCGGCGUCCGCAUUGUAAUCUCAAGAAGCGUUUUCCGCUUCGGACCAUGCCUAAGUCCCUUGGAAAAGGGCAUCAUAGAGGGUGAUAAUCCCGUACAUGGCAUGGAGCGCCCGAAGCUUUGUGAUACGCUUUCUAAGAGUCGAGUUGUUUGGGAAUGCAGCUCAAAAUGGGUGGUAAAUGCCAUCUAAGGCUAAAUAUUGGGGAGAGACCGAUAGCGAACAAGUACAGUGAUGGAAAGAUGAAAAGAACUUUGAAAAGAGAGUUAAACAGUACGUGAAAUUGCCAAAAGGGAAGGGUAGGAGGUCAGAGAUGCGGCCUGGGAUUCAGCCUUGCUUUUGCUUGGUGUUUUUCCCAGGUUGCAGGCCAACGUCGGUUUUGGGCACUGGAGAAGGGUAGGAGGAAUGUGGCACCUCUCGGGGUGUGUUAUAGCCUCCUACUGGAUACAGCGACCGAGACCGAGGACAGCAGCGUACUCGCAAGAGCGGGCCUUCGGGCACCUUUACGCUUAGGGCGUUGGCAUAAUGGCCCUCUACCACCCGUCUUGAAACA
rnacentral:rRNA from 1 species